CUGGCCAUGGCGAUUUGAUCUUUCGGAGAAGACGACUCGGCUUUGGGGGAUUCCACACAGCUUAACGUUAAACUGACUCUCAUGACAUGUGGGACCCUUUUGUUUCAAGUUGGAUGACAUGCGGGAUUUCGGGUGGUCCUUGGCGUUUCUGACCAGGAUUAAGUAACGCGCGCGGGCCGCGGGGGCCUAACCCAGCCCACUCCCCCGGUCGAGCAGUUCUGGUUCGACGACGAACUGGCGGCCGCCCCCUCCCUCUUCUUCACCAAAUCUUCCCCAGAUCUACUAUUUUGAUCAUCAAAACGAGGAGAUCGGAGCAUCCCCGAGUUGCUUGAGGAUGUUUGAGCCGGAUAAAUAUCCCGGCCUUGAUGAUUAUUACGAGGAGAAGCAUCGUGCUGUGCUAGUGGAAAGGGGGGAGGUUCCUCCAGUACUUCGUUUGAGAGGCCACAACCCACGUGAGCCCUUGAGGUAUGACCGUCGCUACGAGCCUUAUUUUAGAAGAAUGGAUCUUCUCCAGUCUGUGCUCAACUUUAAAGGCACACCACCAUGGUUGAACUCGACGGCCAUUACCGCCCUUACGGACCGUUGGAGACCAGAGAUGCACUCUUUUCACCUUGCUCUUGGUGAGAUGACCGUUACUUUGGAGGAUAUUGCGAUGAUCUCCGGUCUUCCGAUCGAGGGCAGGGCUCUUAUCGGGAAGGUGAGGUCUGAGGGGUGGCGACAAAGGGUUGCAGGUUUGGUUGGUGUUGAACCUCCCACGUGGAUUCAUGAAACAAAGAAGGAUCCUAGGCCAUCUGGUGUUUUGUUCUUGUGGCUACAAGAACAUUUUUACGAGUGCCCAGAGAAUGCCAGUCCGGCUGUUGUGGAGAGGUACGCCAGGGCUUACUUAUGGAAUCUUUUGACCCAAGUGGUGUUUCCUGACGGCACAGGAGACACAGCCUCGUGGAUGUUCUUGGACCCUCUUCGUAACUGGGAUGCCAAGUGGAGUUGGGGGUCGGCGGCACUAGCCUUCUUGUACCGUCAGUUGGACGGAGCAUGUAUGAGGAGUAAGCCGAAAUCUUGUCUUGGUGGUUUUGUUUGGGCCCUACAGAUUUGGAUGUGGGAGGGUAUCCCUGUGGGCCGUAACUUCACCAUUGCUCCGGAAGAACCUUGGGAGUGGCCUUUUGACGGGGAUGAGGAGCGAUAUCCCACUAUCACAUACACGUGGGCUAAUGUCCAAGUGUCGAGUAUCGCCGCCAUGGGGCGGUAUAAGGCAUACAUAAGCGAGCUUGACAUGCUUACUUACAACUAGGUUAAUUGGAGGCCGUACAUGGUACUUAGGCAGUUCCCUUUGAGCAACAUGUGCCUUCAUGACCAACAUCUUUGGCGUGUGCGUUGCCCCAUGAUAUGCUUUUUUGCGGUGGAGUGGCAUCUUCCACAUCGUGUUUCGAAGCAAUUUGGAGUACAACAACGCACCCUGCCGGAGUAUGUUGAGACAAGUGUGGUGCUACAUAGGACGAGCCGGCAACACAAAAAGAAUGUCAUUAAUUGGGAGGAUCACCAUCUUAUGUGGGUAGACAUGUGGAAUGCUUAGAGGAAUGCCCGAGUUGAAGAUGAUCACACACCUGACAACGAUGAGGGGGCAUAUUUAAGGCAUCUGGAGUGGCUUCGCAAAGAGUACAGAGUUAUCCUUAAGGGUGCUUGGACUCGUGCCGAUUGCUUGGAAGUAAUGCCAAGUGAGGCUGCUGAUGGUGCAUUCAACAACUCUAUUAGGGAGACCAUUGGAGCGCACCUAGAUUAUGGCCCUCUGCAUGACCGAGUGGGCACGGAGCUAUGGAGAUGUAUCAAUGAUAGUAAUGUGGUGCUUGGCCGCGCACCUGGUAGAGAAACAGACGUUCUCGUUAGGAGUACUCUACAGAAGGUUGUGAAUCGUUGCCGAACACUAGCCGCUUUACUUUCUUGCCAUGGCGGUUCAUCCAUGGAUGUGCGUGCACGUGCUCAGUAUAGAAUGGAUGUGCUGUCUUCCGCUCGUCCAUCUUCGAUCCAAGCACGUGCUUGUUCCACUCGUUCAUCUUCCAGCCGAGCAGGUGCUUCUUCGAGCUGAGCACGGAUUGAUGAACAGGAAGAUGAAGAGGAGGAGACAGACUACGACGCGGAUUCGGACUAUGUGGAGCUUGCGGCUUCGCAGAUGGAAGAUGCUCCACUGCCAACUCAACCUUCUCAGCCUUCUGAAGAAGCACGUCGAGUUAGCUCAAGAACCAUCCGACGUUGUGAAUGGCAGAACACUCCAGAGGGCUACGUCAACAGGGGGAAGAUGGCUGCAAAAAGAGGCAAGAAGUGAAGUGAUGACUAAUGCGAACUUGUUAGUUCUAUAUGUUGUGAACUAGAAAUGUAGUGAGCGUUUCAGAUGGAGCAAACUUGUUAGUUCUAUAUGUGAUGAACUUCUUAUGUUUUAUGUCUGAUGGACUUCUUAGUUCUAUGUUAGCAAGACUUGGUAAUUA